GGAAUAUUGGACAAUGGGCGGAAGCCUGAUCCAGCCAUGCCGCGUGAGUGAUGAAGGCCCUCGGGUCGUAAAGCUCUGUGGAGAGGGACGAAACGCUGGGGGUAAAUAGUUCCUGGCUUGACGGUACCUCUUUAGCAAGCACCGGCUAACUCCGUGCCAGCAGCCGCGGUAAUACGGAGGGUGCAAACGUUGCUCGGAAUCAUUGGGCGUAAAGCGCACGUAGGCGGUCCGUUAAGUCGGAUGUGAAAGCCCUCGGCUCAACCGAGGAAGUGCAUUCGAAACUGGCGGACUUGAGUACGGGAGAGGAUCGCGGAAUUCCCGGUGUAGAGGUGAAAUUCGUAGAUAUCGGGAGGAACACCAGUGGCGAAGGCGGCGGUCUGGACCGAUACUGACGCUGAGGUGCGAAAGCGUGGGGAGCAAA
rnacentral:rRNA from 1 species